rnacentral:rRNA from 1 species
GGGUACGAGCGUUGUCCGGAAUUAUUGGGCGUAAAGAGCUCGUAGGUGGUUGGUCACGUCUGCUGUGGAAACGCAACGCUUAACGUUGCGCGUGCAGUGGGUACGGGCUGACUAGAGUGCAGUAGGGGAGUCUGGAAUUCCUGGUGUAGCGGUGAAAUGCGCAGAUAUCAGGAGGAACACCGGUGGCGAAGGCGGGACUCUGGGCUGUAACUGACACUGAGGAGCGAAAGCAUGGGGAGCGAACAGGAUUAGAUA